CCUCUUUCGUACUAAAGUACUAGCUAUUUAUACAAAGCUAUCUAUACAAAUUUGAAAAUAGAGGACUUAAAGCAUGUCCUACACAUGCGCAUUAAAUGGUAAUCUUGCGACUAAGCCUCCACUCCCUGUUUUGAACUCACUGAUUGAAGGUUGCACACGUACUUGAUAAAAUGGGCGUAGGUAAAAUUCUACUGAUCGUUGGUAGCAUUGGUGCAUUCAUCUUUCUUGCAGCAUGUACUUUGGUAAUUACUGGACUGUCAGUAAAGCAAGUAGUGAUUUUGGGCAAGGGUUAUGGAAAAUAUGUAGACCAGCACAGUGCAUUUCCAUUGAUGAUUACUUUGGUGGUAGUGAUAACCUUAAGGAUUGGUUCAAAGCUGUUCGCGCAUUCGCCAUUAUAUCAUGCUUAGUUGCUGUUGGGGGUAUACUAUAGUCGAUUUUAGGAUUAGUUUCCGAUAAAGUUAAAGGAUUGUUCGCAUCUCUUUUCUUACUCGCUGCUGCAGGCUGCAUGGCACUUGCCUUGAUUAUUUAUAGCAGUAAGAUUAAUCACAGUCCAUUAUUAAAGUACGGAUGGAGCUACAUCUUGGGAUGGAUUGGUACCCUUGGAGCGAUUGGGGCAGGAAUUAUUGGAUUCCUGACAGAAAAGUUUUAAAGAAGAAAAAACUGAAUUUUCAUAUCAAACUUUGCGUGGUGAUUGUUUUUAGAGUGAAGAUUGUAAAACUUUUUAAAGUAAAUAUACAAACAACAUUAAAA